GAGGAGGAGGAGGAGGAGGAUGGGCUCUGUAACUCAGCCCCAGCGCUUGCCAGGCUCCACAUCCUGCUUUGGGGCUUGCAGGAAGGACAGACACCAUCAUCCUCUCGGGAUGUGACUGAAGGAGCAGACUUUGGGCUGCCAAGUCAGGAAGGGGGGAUUUAGGCUCUGGAGCAAAUGAAGAGCCAAUUCCUCUUCACCAUCGACUGUUCUGGGGAGGAUUUUCCAGCAUGCGGCAGCGAGGAGGGGAAAGGAAGGAGCAUGAAGAGCCCAAGGAAGCUGGGAAGAGCCCAGGGGCAGGAGCAGCACACGGAGGGUGGGCUUGGGCAGUGGUGCUUCACUUCUUCCUGGUCAACGUCUUCGUGAUGGGGAUGCUCAAGACCUUUGGGAUUUUCUUUGUGGCUUUCCAAGAGGAUGUGGGGGGCUCCUCUGAGCAGGUCAGCUGGAUUGGCUCCAUCAUGUCCUCCCUGCGCUUCCUAGGAGCCCCCCUCGUGAGCGUCGUGUGCCGGGGGCUGGGGGAACGUCCCACCUCCCUCCUCGGGGCCGGGCUGGUGGCUGGGGGGUGCCUGGUGAGCACCCAGGCCACCAGUGUCCCCUUCCUCUGCGUCUCCAUGGGACUCCUCCUGGGGCUGGGCUUUGCCUGCCUGUACCAGGCGGCCGCAGUGGUGACGGCCCAGCGCUGCCGGGCACGUUUGGGCUUCUCCAACGCCGUGGCCCGUUCUGGGAUGGGGCUCACCUUCCUCAUGGCACCCUUCACCCAGCUCCUCCUCGACUUCUAUGGCUGGCAAGGAACUCUCCUGAUUUUUGGAGGCAUCAUGUUGAACCUGGUGCCUUCCAGCCUGUUGCUGAGACCCAUCAGCACCCGACACUCCUCUGCCAAAAACCAAGACUGUGCAUCAUCAGUGGCACAGAAGGAUCCAGAAACUCCUGAUGGAUGUUUAGAUGGAACCACUGACAGGGAAUUACACCCUCACAAUGCACAGGAGCUUCCCAGCAUAGAGACACUCCCCAUGUCCCACGGCAAAGACGUCUCUGAUCCCAUAAAUCCAUCUGCCUUGGGAAAGUCGGAGAAACCCACCCCAGACAGAUCCUCACCAGAAACAACCACCGGGGCCAAGAGAAGCAACAAACCCCCUCCAGCAACCAAAAAAGAAACUUCUCAGCCUCUCCUGGAUUUGUCCCCACUGAAGGAUCCCCUUUUCUUCAUCUUCACGUGGUCCUUUUUGUUCAGCCACUUGGCCUAUUUCGUGCCCUUCUUCCACCUGGUGGCAAGAGCCAAGACACUGGGAAUGAGCAGCACGGAUGGCUCCUACCUCAUCUCAGUGGCUGGCAUCACAGAGAUGCUGAGCCAGCUGCUCUCGGGCUGGGUGGCCGACCACAACUGGACCAAGAAGUACCAUUUCCACGUGACUUACCUGGUCCUGAGCGGGAUCACAAACCUCCUGGGGCCCCUGGCCACGACAUUCCCGCUGCUCCUCACCUACACCGUGGCCUUUUCCCUGUUCUGUGGAGGGUUCAUGGCUCUGGUGCUCCCGGUGCUGGUGGAUCUGGUGGGUGUGGAAAAGCUCCACAGUUACCUGGGGUUUGCUGCCUUCUUUGCAGGGAUAGCAGCCAUUGGAGGGCCUCCUCUGGCAGGUUGGCUCUACGACCACACCCAGACCUACGCCUGCUCCUUCCUCUUCGCCGGGGCCUGUGCCCUCAUCUCCCCCCUGUCCUUCUGCCUCGAGCCCUGGGCACAGAAACAGAAGCUCAAAUCAGCCAGUCUGAACCCCAAGCCCAGGGCUGGCUGAAGGGUUAAAGCCUGGCCUGGAGCUGUAUCCACAAAGGGAAAGCCAUGGCCAGAACAGCCCAGCUGUCCCGGGAAUAUCGACGGCAGCGACAGUGGAAACGGGAAUUCUAGAUGAGAGAUUCAGUUUGAACAUCUGGAUAUUGCUCCUGAUUAGAUUCUGGUUUUGUAUCUGGAUAUUUCUCCUGAUUAGAUUCAGUUUGGGUAUCUGGAUAUUGCUCCUGAUUAGAUUUAUUUUGGAUAUCUGGAUAUUGCUCCUGAUUAGAUUCAGUUUUGAUAUCUGGAUAUUGCUCCUGAUUAGAUUCUGGUUUUAUAUCUGGAUAUUUCUCCCAAUUACCUUCACUUUGUGUAUCUGGAUAUUGCUCCUGAUUAGAUUUAUUUUGGAUAUCUGGAUAUUGCUCCUGAUUAAAUUCAGUUUGGGUAUCUGGAUAUUUCUCCUGAUUAGAUUCUGGUUUUAUAUCUGGAUAUUUCUCCCAGUUACCUUCACUUUGUGUAUCUGGAUAUUUCUCCUGAUUAGAUUUAUUUUGGAUAUCUGGAUAUUGCUCCUGAUUAGAUUUAUUUUGGAUAUCUGGAUAUUUCUCCUGAUUAGAUUCUGUCUGGAUAUCUGGAUAUUGCUCCUGAUUAGAUUCUGUUUGGAUAUCUGGGUGUUUCUCCUGGUUAGAUUCUAUUUGGAUAUCUGGAUAUUUCUCCUCAUUAAAGCCACCUGAGAGAU